UGCGUAGGGUGCAAGCGUUACUCGGAAUUACUGGGCGUAAAGCGUGCGUAGGCGGUUUCUUAAGUCCGUUGUGAAAGCCCUGGGCUCAACCUGGGAACUGCAGUGGAUACUGAGAGGCUAGAGUGUGUCAGAGGAUGGUGGAAUUCCCGGUGUAGCGGUGAAAUGCGUAGAGAUCGGGAGGAACAUCAGUGGCGAAGGCGGCCAUCUGGGACAACACUGACGCUGAGGCACGAAAGCGUGGGGAGCAAACAGG
rnacentral:rRNA from 1 species